UGCUGUUUCUCAUCCUAAAGACCUGAUCAACCUCACAGAUACAGCUCCUCACACACCACAACAACCGGCCACUUUAUUAGGAACAGAUAGGUAUCUGCCCAUGGACGUGUGAUGGCAGCAUGGUGGUGUCAUGCCUCAGUGGCUCCUAAAACCAGUGAACAGGGUGCAGCAGGUCCAUGGGCGCGCCCCCGAGCCCCAGCCCGUUCAUGGCGUACGGGCCCUGUUUCAGGUAAAACAGGCAGGCCUCGCUAAUCGAGUCUAAAUGGAGUGGGAGGUUUUUAUCUUCUCUUCAUGGCCAUUGUUCUGGAGAAGAUGUACAGAUGUAUGAGGAGAAAAGUUUCUGUAAAGUUCGUGGUGCGCUUCUCUGCGGUUCCUCAUGCCUAUGAAAGGCCCCGUUAAGGUCCAGCAGAUCCACGCUGCAGCUUUAAGCAAAUGGAAAUCAGCAGCGACUGCGCAAAUCAUCCCUGUUUAGCUAUUUAGAUUGAGCUCAGGGGGAACUCCAUUUACAGAAGAAACCUUAUCGACUAAACAAAUCACACGACCCCCCAAACCCAAACUCACCACGGGCUUCACGCAUACAGAGCGCAAAUGCGUCCCACUGGGUUCGAGAUUGGGCGUAUUGACACGAUUUCACCCCUAAAAUAAAGUAAACAUUUUCUGAGAAAAGUGAUUUGCUAAUUGUGCGGCUUUUUUUUUUUUUACAAUUAUCUCAUUUUAAUUUGUAGCGUAAAAAAUGCUCCCUUUGUUUUACUUUUGUUUUAUUUAGGAUGCUUACAGUAGUAGACAUUUUAAUUCGCACGUUUAAAAAUAGCCGUCACUUAACCCUCCUGUUAUGUUAUGGGUCAAAUUAAUCUGUUUUACAGUUUGAAGAUCUAGGAAAAAUAAUUGAAAGUAUUUUUUAGUAUGAAACUUCUUCUUCUGCUUCCCUUUAUUACUGUAAUCAACAUAUAAUAUAAAAAUGGUUCAUCUCACAUAUUUGCAAACCACUCCCUGCAAAACCUAAAACUAAAUUGCAAUGUUAUUUCAAAAGUAAUAAAGUAGUAAAACUUUGAAAAAAGAUUUGAACAUGUAUUUUUAUAUAUAUAUAUAUACAACGAGUAAGUUAUCCUAAUCGAACCAUUACCUGUUAGAGGUAAGGAACAGUAUUGCUGUAACAGGAGGGUUAAGUAAGUAAGUAAAUUUGUAAGCAAUUUACCAGAACAAUAAACUUGUUAAAAAGAUAAACAAAAAUAAAAGUCCUUACCUAUAGAUUUGUUUCCUGGUUAUCCACUUUCCGAAGAUAAAAUCCACGCAACUAAGGAAGGCGUCCCUUAGAUUUUUUUUUUUUUUUUU